rnacentral:lncRNA from 1 species
GGCGGAAGAAAGGGUAAAGAGAUGGCUCGAUUAACAUUAAUAUCGAUGCUAUUUCUCUGGGCAGGAUCAAUGCUUAUGGUCCAGGGCGGAGAUCCCACCCUUUUUUUUGAAUGGAACGUCACCUAUGGCACCAUUGCUCCUUUGGGAGUGCCAGUAAAGGGUAUUCUUAUUAACGGGCAAUUCCCGGGACCAAAUAUUAACUCUACCACCAACAACAAUAUUGUGAUCAAUGUAUUCAAUAACCUUGAUGAGCCAUUCCUUGUAACAUGGUAAGCGACUAUCAAGAGUAUUUUCUUUUUUACAUUAAUAUGAUUAUGCUAGUGAAGAGUUGAGCUAAUUAUAUGUGGAAAUGGGAUUUGUUGCAGGAACGGCAUUCAGCAUAGGAAGAACUCUUGGCAAGAUGGUGUUCUGGGAACCAACUGUCCUAUCCCCCGUGGGAAGAAUUACACAUAUAAAUUCCAGGUGAAGGAUCAGAUUGGCAGCUACAUCUACUAUCCCGUGACGGCUAUGCAUAAGGCGGUUGGUGGUUUCGGUGGCCUCCGUGUUAACAGCCGUCUACUCAUCCCUGUUCCCUACGCUGAUCCGGCUGAUGACUAUACUCUCUUAGUGGGAGACUUUUUCAACAAGGGACACACCAGCCUCAAGAAGAUUCUUGAUAGCGGUCGCAACCUUGGGAGAUGUGACGGUGUCCACCUUAAUGGGAAAGUUGCGAAAGGUGAUGGGAAGGAUGAACCUCUGUUUACGAUGGAGGCAGGCAAAACGUACAAGUACAGGAUUUGCAAUACGGGUAUCAAGACAUCUCUGAACGUCAGGUUCCAAGGCCACACCAUGAAAUUGGUUGAGAUGGAGGGUUCCCACACAAUGCAGAAUGACUAUGACUCCCUUGAUGUGCACGUUGGACAGUGCUUCAGUGUGCUUGUUACUGCCAACCAGGAACCAAGGGAUUACUAUGUGGUGGCCUCUACCCGUUUUACCAAACGUGAGGUUACAGCAACUGGCAUCAUCCGUUACAAGAAUGGCAAGGGAGCUGCCUCAUCCGAGUUGCCACCACCACCUGUUGGUUGGGCUUGGUCACUCAAUCAAUUCCGUACCUUCCGUUGGAACUUGACUUCUAACGCUGCUAGGCCUAAUCCUCAGGGCUCCUACAAAUAUGGUUCUAUUAACAUUACCCGCACCAUCAAGCUUGCCAACACUGCACAAAGAGUAGAUGGCAAGCUCCGAUAUGCUCUUAAUGGAGUCUCCUAUGUCGAACCAACCACUCCACUAAAACUUGCAGAAUACUAUGGCGUAGCCGACAAGGUUUUCAAGUAUGAUACCAUUCCCGAUGAGCCUCCAAGUGACAACACUAAGGUAACUUUGGCACCUAUUGUCCUCAACAUGACACAUAGAAACUUUGUGGAAAUCAUCUUCGAGAAUCACGAGACCGCCAUUCAGUCCUACCACUUGUCUGGCUACUCAUUCUUUGCUGUGGGGUAAGUAUAGCUUCUAACAUAGCCAAUACAUGUGGUGAUUUGCUUGAGUUGAAGUAAUAAGUUGUAUAAUGAUUUGUCGCAGCAUGGACGUUGGGAAAUGGAGCCCCGAGAAGAGGAUGAACUACAAUCUUCUUGACGCCGUGAGCAGACACACCAUACAGGUAUUCCCCAACUCCUGGUCAGCAAUCCUAUUGACAUUCGACAACUGCGGGAUGUGGAACCUGAGGUCGGAGAUAUGGGACAGGCAUUACCUUGGGCAACAGCUUUAUGCUAGUGUUAUUUCCCCUAACCGAUCCCUCAAGGAUGAGUACAACUUACCGGAAGGUGUAUUGACUUGCGGCAUCGUGCAAGGCAUGCCAAGGCCUCCACCUUUCAGCAGUUAAUUUAAUUAAGCUUAUAAAUCUGUAUCCAAUUAUAGAAUAUGGGGAGAGAGAGGGUGAGAAAAGCUGAGUUCUGUAUAAUAUUUAAUGAAAUAAAAGCUUUUGGAUCACUUUAUUAUUACUAAUUUUCGUGUGUUGCCCUCGAAUAUACACGCAUUUAAGUUAUUUUCAAUAUAAAAAACUGAUAUUUUCAAAAUUGUACAAUAUUUAAAGAUGAAUGAUUUAAAAAAAUGGUUUAUACUACUAAUUAUUUUGAUAUUUUCAAAGUUGAAAUAAAUAAAUAAUUAAGUUAUAUUAACAAAGAAAUUUAAAAUAAAUAAUCUAUAUAUAUUUUGUUGAUAUAUUCAUCAAUAUAAAUAAAUCAUUCUGCUAUGGCGGUUCAACUUUGUGUUUUUUUUUAUUCAUUUAUUUUUGUAAAUUUCAAAUUUGUAUAUUAGAUAUGUACUACUACUAGAUAUGUCAAAUUGUAAAUAUUUAUUUGUCAAAAAGGCUCUUUAAAAAAUGAAAAAAAAAUUAAUUAAGUCAUCGUAUGCAAUUUGUACCUAAUUAAGUCCCUAUCAUUAAUUAAAAUAAUCAAUUAAGCCACAUAAAAUAAAUUGAUCAGAUAGAGAUAGUAAUAACUUCUAUAGUAAUCUAUUAUUUUUCCUAUAAAAAUAUUUAAAAAUUAGAAAAAUAUUAUAAAAAAAUAUAAAUACUAUUAAAUAUUAAAAAAAAUAAGAAAAUUGGUAUAAACUUAAAAAAUUAUAAAAUUAAUAAAACAUAUUUAAAAUAUUUAAAAUUUUAUAAAAACAUUAAAUUUAAAACUCUAUAAAAAUAAUAAAAAUUAUAAAAAAAUAUUAGAAGUAUUAAAUUUGAUAUAAACUUAUAAAAAAUGAUAAAAAAAUAAUAAAACUUGAUUUGGGUCGGAUUAGUCGGUUGGACCGGCUAGAUCAAAAUUGGCAAGAUAUCGAUCCAGAGAAAGCCAUUAGACCGAUUGAUAUUGGAACUGGAUGGUUGAACCGAUUCUUUAUCCUUUUAAUAUAUAUAUUUUAUUUCUUAAUGUUUUAUUUAAUUGAACUGGACGGAUCAGUCGAAAUGGUAAAUCAAUGGCUUAAUUUAAUUUUUUAGAAAAAUUAUUAGAUUAAACCAUAAGCUACAAUGUCUCAUCAACUAAUUGGCUUGUCAAUUUAUUUUAACCGUCAAUGUGAUCAAUCUCGAACACCGUUAAUUAUUUUAAUUAAUGCCAAGAACUUAAUUAGUUGCGAAUUUAAUAUAAAAAUAGGCUUUUUGACAUAUAAAUCUAUUGAAAAUAAGAUUAUUAUUAUUAUUUUUAUCUCCCAAUAAUUACAUGGAAUAUUUGAAAUUCAAGCACUCCCUAGAUGACUCAGCUUGGAGACUAGCAAAACCAAUAAUCAACAUAAAACUAGUCGGAUUUAAGGCACUCUUCGCACGAAGAUGGACAAAUUGUAGAUGAUUAAGAAAUUACCUUAAAUUUAUACCAUUUAAACAUGUCAUCUUAUUUCUCGAAUCAUCCUAAGACUUACAAAGUCUCCUAUAACUUAAGCAUAAGUCACAUAAUACUUAUAAUUUAGUCCCUAUUAAUCGAUUUCAAGCAUAUACCACUUCUGUAUCUUAGCCGCAUAACAUUUAUAUUUUAGUUUCUAUUUGUAAUGGCCCAAAUUUGCUGCCCAAAUAAACCAAAAAAAAAAACAUAAAUUAAACAAAAUUAUAACAGUCCCUUAAAUACUUUAGUCCAAUUACAAAAAACCAGUAGCCCCAUAGCCCAAAUAUAAGGGCCCACUAACUGGAACAGACCCAAACAGCCUUAAAUCGAUGCUCAGCUUUGGCAAACCCUAGGACAAAAGGGGUCCUCGAGUCGCAGCAACCUCAGCAGCCUCCAGGCACCGUACACUCCUCCUGGCGCCACGCACGCUCCCGUACAUACGCCAGCACCACCCCGUACGCCCCGCACCAAUUUGCCAGCGCAUGUCCUCUGCUCCGUACCUGCGAACAAGACAAACACAGCAACAAACAGAGACAAAAGAGAAAAUAUUAUUUUUCUUUUAUUUGUUUUUCUUUCGUUUCGGAUAUAAAGCCAGAAAAUGUUCAUUGUAAUGAAAAAAGGGGCGCAUUUACGCAACAAAAAUAUACAAACAGAUACUAUAAAGAGAGAUUUUUUUUACGAACACAAGCAAUACGAAUACUUACAAAAAAAAGCAGAGGUGAUUUCUUUUCUUCCUCGAAUCCUCUUAGUUUUCCAUAUAUCAUUGCGUUUUUGGUUUAGGGGUCAUUCACCAUUAUCGUUUUGAAAAUAAAGAGAUGAACAAAGGAACGGUGAAAGAGGAGCUUACCUUGCGAAGCUAGCCGUCGUCCCCCCUUUUACUUCGUCGAAAUCGAAGUCUGAAUGAGGGUUUCAAAGGCGAAAACCCCUCUUUUAGGGCUCGGAUGCGCAGACCGUCGCUCGUACUGACGAAUUAGUGCUAAAAGGAGCAUUUGGAGGUCGAUUGAGCAACGAGAGAGGGGAAGGGGCUAGGGUUCGGCUGAAUAACUCAGUCUUCAGCCCUUUUAAAGGGUUAAAAGCGAUGCCGUUUCAAGCCCAUUACAAUGGCUCAAAAACGACGUCGUCGGAUGGAGCCUCGAUCUGAUCCGUUUAGCUGCCCCGACGACCCGCGCGUUUUCGCGAAGAGGGUUUAUUUACAGCAUCGGUCCCUCCCUGUUGCACCAUGUUUCAUUUGGCUCUUAUUUAUUUUUUUAUUUUUAUUAAUUUAGCUAUGUAAUUUAUACACGUUUGCAAAUGGACCGGCGCUUGAAUACAGCCUUUUAGGAUCUGGUAUAUUGUCAGUUUUAGUCCCUAGCUGUUUCCGCGCAUGGACUAUUGGUCCCUCCACUGUUUUUGUUUAGUUUCAAUUUUACCUUGUGUGUUUUAGUUUAAUUUUAAUUAGGUCUUUUAUUUUAUAACUUUAUAAUUUCUUUUAUUUACUUACUAGUAUAUUUUCAAGCAGCUAUGACAGUCUUUUUAGUGUUAUAAAUUUGUUUUUUUUGUAAGAUUAUUAUCAUACUUCGUAUAUCUUGAAUGUUUAUUUCUUUAGUGUUAUUAGGCAUAUAUAUGUUUUACAAAAAAUCCUAAUGCUUCAUACAUCCAAUGUUUUAUUCUAAUUAUGUAUUUUAGCAUAUACUUUGUCACGAUAAUACAUUUUGUUUAUACACACAUGUUUUCCAUAAAAUUAUCUUUCCAUUUGCCUAUAUUAGUACAUAUAUUCGGCAUAUAUAUAUUUCAUUAAAUCUACACAUUAUCGUUCUUUAGGAAUUUACAUGUGUUCUCUUUGAAAUUUGUAUAUACAUAUACGCAUUAAUACCCUUUUUUUUAUUUUAAUAGAUUUUAUUUUAAAACACCUUUCGCUUUGUAAUUUACCAAACAUUUUCUAUAUAUAUAUGAAAUAAUGUUAAGAGCUUUUAAUUAUAAAAUUAUUAUUGUUAUCCAUGUUUUUAUUUCUUUAUAUUAUAUUGCUUUUGUGUUUUAUAUAGCCUAUUAUUUAAAUAUUUUGAUAUGAGGAUAGGUAUGUUUUUUUUAAAAACCAAUUUAAAAUUAUAUAUAUGUACUAAUUUUAAUCUCAUUCUUUUAUAAGUUUAUAUGUACAUUUUUUUUAUAUAAAUCUAUUUUGGGCCUCAUGUCUUUGUCAUAUUUUUUUUUUGUAUCAUAUAUUUUUUUGUCCUAUCAUAUAUUUUGUUAACUUUUAAAUAAAUUCAUGUUUAAAACAUGUUACAUGUAAUUUGAUUCAAAUUUUUAUUCUAUAAUAUUUGUUCCAAAAAAAUCAUAUAGCUAUCUAUAGCUUUCAUGCAAAUAUGUCGACUUAUGUAUGGGCCCAUUUAUUCGUUAUUAUUUAAAAAUCAUUUUAUAGUGCAUUGGUUGCUAAUUGCUAUAUUAUUUUUCAUAUCUUGUAUCGGUUAAUCUAUAUCAUAUGUUGUUUAUUAUUGUGGCAUACUAUCGUAUGUUUUGUUUCGCUUGAAUGGUUGUUAUAUUAUCAUCUUUGUCAUUGUAUUAUUAUCCUCCAUGCGCUAUUGUAAUCAGGUUGCGUUUUUUUAGGAUUAGCUAUACCUUUUUUAUUUUUAAUCGAUUGUAUCUCAUAUGCACGUUUACCCCAUCCACCGAUUUUAUUUGAUUUUCGAAAUGUGGUUUUAUAAAAUCUAAAUUUUAUGAUUAAUUUCGUCCUAUUUCAAAUCGAAUUAAUAGGUCUUAAGCUAGCUUUAUAAUCAUUCAUUCAAAAGUUCUUCAAAACGAAGACGAGAUUCGAUGUUUGGCAAUUCGCGGAAUCGUGCCCUAACGUGUUGGGUUGCAAUUUCGCGUUUGCUCAAAAUAAUCGAAUAUCACUUCGAAAUUUCACUCGCGUCUUUUAAAAUUCUUCAAAACGAAGACGAGAUUUGAUACUUAGCAAUUCGCGGAAUCGUGCCCUAACGUGUUGGGUUGCAAUUUUGCGUUUGUCCAAAGUAAUCGAGCAUCCCUUCAAAAUUUCAUUCAUGUCUUCUAAAAAUUAUUUAAAACGAAAGCUAUAUUCGGCGUUUGACAAUUCGAGAAUCAUGCCCUAUCGUGCUGGGCUGUGAUUUCUCGUUUGUUCAAAACGAUCGAAUAUUCUUUUGUAUUAUCACUCAUGUUUUUAAAAAAUAAAAAAUAAAAAAUAUAAAUACUUAAAAACGACGAUGAUAUUCAAUGUUUGGCGAUUUGAGAACCGUGCCCUAUCGUGCUGGGUUGCGCUUUUUCAUUGGUCCGAAACAAUUGAAAAUCCCUUCGGAAUUUCCCUCACAUUUUCUAAAAUCUUUCAAAAUGAAGGCGAUGUUCGAUGUUUGGCGAUUUGAGAAUCGAGCCCUAUCGUGUUGGGUUGCGCUUUUUCAUUUGCCCAAAAUAAUCGAAUAUCUCCUCGGAAUUUUCACACAUAUUUUAUAAAGUAAGGCAAUGAUCAAUAUUUGGAAAUUCGAGGAAUCGUACCCUACUGUGCUGGGUUUCGAUUUUUUGUUGGACUAAAUAAUUGAGCUUCCUUCGGUAAUUCUCAAAUUACAUACUUUCGGACAUCGAAACAAGAAAUUUUGACAACUAACUCGGAUUACUCAAACGUUAUAAAAGGAACCACAUUUCAAAAACUUUUAAUUUAGACACAAGGACAGUAUUUAAUCGAUUUGGUACCAAUUUUGGGCGUAGUGAGGGUGCUAACCCUUCCUCAUACGUAACCGACUCCCGAGCCCAUUUUCUCACACUUUCGUAGACCAUAAUCGGUGUUUUAGUAAACCGAAAAUGUUUUAUUAAAAUAACCAAAUUCUUAGGUGACCCGAUCACACCAAAAUAAAAGGAUCGGUGGCGACUCCAUAUUUCUAUUUCCCAAAUAGUCGAUUUCCUCAUUUUUUAAAAAAUUUUUAAAAUAUUUGAAUAAAAAGGGUGGUUUCGACACUAUUAAUAGAUUUUAGAUUCAACGGUGAAUACGCAGAUUAGUAUAUUAAAUUACCUAAUAACCCAACAAAGAAUUAGAGUUAGUGAUGUGUCCUAAUACUCAUUACACCGAAAUGCCAAAAUAGUUCUCAUUCUUAACAUCAUUAAACAUAAAUUUACAUAUCUUUAACCCCUUUCGUAAUAUUUUCAUGAUCAUAAUCCACAUCACAAAUAUAUACACAUAUGAAUAUCAUCACAACCAUUGCCAUCAAAGUCAAUUAAGCUAUCAUGCCUUUUAUGACAACAUUCAUUAAUAUUAAUUCAUUAAACUUAGCUGCUUAAUGAGUUAAUAACACAAGAUUACAAACCAAAUUCAUUUUUCAUCCUUGGAUUCUUGACGUCCUGGUCUUGUUUCUUAACUUUGUUCAAAUAAUUCAAUUAUUAGUACGAGCUAGUGGCCUAUUCAAAUACAUCAAACUAUUCAAUUAAACAUAUGUAAUUUUUCAACUUAGUCUUUUUAUACCCUAAUGUCCGAUUUUCGUAUAUCUCAAAAUUUUCCCGCUCGAAUCAAUUCGACUUUAUAACUAUACUCUAAGGCCUCAAACUAUCUAUAAAACACCAUUUUUGUUCAAAGUUCUCAACAAUCUCAUUCAAGCUCCCAAGAACUCAUCAAUGACUAUAUUAUCUAUGUUUAAUCAAGUCUUGUUUCUACACAUCCCACUUCAUUUCUAGCAUGUUUUCCACCAAAGUUCAAGCUUAACACUAGAUAUUCAUGGAUUCAAGCUUUCAUUCUCUAAGUUCUCUAAUGCUUAGGCUAUGUUCAUCAACUAUCAUAUAUAAACUAAGAUUUUAACAAAUUCAAGUGAAAAGUUCACCUUCCUUAGUAAUUUGAUGGACGACAAUGGAAGAGUAACCUAAAGAAUUUCUUUCUUUCUUUUGCUUCUCUCACCAAUUCAACACAUAUAUAUAUAUACAUAAUUAAUCUAAUUCCUCAUUAAUCUAAUGGCUAGAAUUGAGCUUAAACAAUGGUCAAUAGAAAUGAAUGGCAAGGAUCAACCAAGCCACUAACUAAGAAUAAAUCUUGGUUUAACAGCACUAGAGGUGUACAUGGGCCGGGCCGGGGUGGGUUUAGGUCGGGCUCAAUUAAAAAUUUAGACUCAUUUGAUAGGUUUGGGCCCGGCCCGGCCCAGAAAAUGGGCCUAAAAAUUUGCCUAAGCCCUACUUGAAUAAAAAUGUUAAAACCCGGGCCUGACCCAGCCUGUCCAUAGUAAUUUUUAUAUUAUUUUUUAUAUAAUUUAAAAAAUAUAUAAUACAUCAAAAAUACUAAAAACAUGAAAAUAAAUAUUUCCCAACAAAUUGAAAAUAAAUUUUAAAAAAAUAUGUAUACUUAAAUAACACUAAGAUAGAUGCAACUUAAUAAGCAAAUGCCUCUAAAAUAAUAACAAAAUUAACAAAUAUCUUUAAAAUAAUAGCAAAAUUAACAAUAAGAUAAGUUUUAUACAAUAUCCAAACAAUAACAACAAAAUAGUAGCAACAUAAUAGUAAAAUGGUAGCAAAAUAGGGAGAAAACAUUAAGAAAUAAUAAUUAAAAAAAAUAUUUUUUGUCCUUUAGUGAAUUCGGGUAGGGUCAGGCCAAAAAUGCCUUACCUGAGGCCCGACCCAUUUUUUAAACAGGCCUUAUUUUUUUAUCCAAGCCCAUUUUUCGAGCCUAUAUUUUUGCUCAAACCCUCUCACAUUUCAGACUGGUCUUCGAGCUUGGCUGAGUGGCCCGACCCAUGAACAAGUCUAAACAGUACUUAGGUUCUUGGCAUAAUUACCACUGGCAAAUUUGUUUAAUUCUUAAAUCAAUUCUCUUUAUUUUAUUCACCUUACAAUUUAGUCUUUGAUCAAUAAUUACUAUUCUUUCAAUCUAGUCCUUGUACUUAAUAAUUUAUCUAAUUUAAUCACUUAAUAAUUCUAAUUUCUAAUUUCAUGUUCAUCUUGUAAAUGUCUCGAUUUAAUAUUUUUGGACUAGUUCGGCUUCGAGAAUUUAGCCUCGAAAUCAAAUUUUUUGACCCUAAUGAAAAUCAGAAUGUUAUAUGCAAAAUGCUCGACAUCCUGCAAGGUCUCCAUAAUAGAUUUCUUCAUAUUUGUGUCAUUGUUGCUCAUGUCUGAUCCACCUCUAGUAUUCACUUCAACCGUAACAAUGGUCAUAUUUGUUGCCAUGAGUGAUGUGGAAAUUUUUUUUAAAAUGUCAUUAAGUAAUUUGAAAUAGACCAUGAAUAAUGUGGUGGAAAGAGUUAAUAAAAUAAUUUCUCCACAUUUUGGGUGAUCAAUAUUUAAUUUAUUAUAAAAUUUCUCGUAGAUGAUGUCACAAAUGAAUUUGUUAUGUAUGCGUAAACUCUUGAAAAAAAAAACUAAUUAUAUUUUUUUCAAAUUAUAUUUUUUUGUCAUAAUUUAAGCUUUCAUAUAAGGUUAGUUUCACAUUAAUACAAUUUCUAUUUUUAAAAAUUACAAUAGUUUAUCUAUAUCUAUAAUAAAAGAAUAAAUAAAAAGGUUAAAAAAAAAAGCACUAAAGUAUUUUUCAUAGAAGCAACUACUUUCCUAAAGAAAAGGUUAGCCAUCCAUAUAGUGAAUAUUCAAAUCCUUGUGAUAACAGAAAAGAAUGAUUCAACAUUGUAAAACUAAAAAUGGUUAGUGCUAAAAGGAAGGAAAUAAAUGAAUGGAUGAGCUUAUUAUAAGGGAUUAAGAUGGAAGAAUGGAAGAGGGGAUUGUGUGGUAUAAAAGGAGAGGUAUGCAUGCAAUUCAAAAUCAACUCAAGCUAAUCAUCUCCCUCUUCCUCUAGAGGGGAUAAACAGUAUAAUAAAUUAUAUUGGAGGCGUGGUCGGCAAAAAAAAGGGUUAAGAGAUGGCUCGAUUAACAUUAGUAUCGAUGCUAUUUCUUUGGGCAGGAUCAAUGCUUAUGGUCCAGGGCGGAGAUCCCACCCUUUUUUUCGAAUGGAACGUCACCUAUGGCACCAUUGCUCCCUUGGGAGUGCCAGUAAAGGGUAUUCUUAUUAACGGGCAAUUCCCGGGACCAAAUAUUAACUCUACCACCAACAACAAUAUUGUGGUCAAUGUGUUCAAUAACCUUG